rnacentral:rRNA from 1 species
UACAGAGGGUGCAAGCGUUAAUCGGAAUUACUGGGCGUAAAGAGUGCGUAGGUGGUUGGAUAAGUUAGGUGUGAAAUCCCUGGGCUCAGCCUAGGAACUGCGCUUAAAACUGUUCGGCUAGAGUAUUGUAGAGGAUAGUGGAAUUUCCAGUGUAGCGGUGAAAUGCGUAGAUAUUGGAAGGAACACCAGUGGCGAGGGCGACUAUCUGGGCAAAUACUGACACUGAGGCACGAAAGCAUGGGGAGCAAACAGG